GUGCUUACUUCAGCAGCACAUAUACUAAUAUUGGAACGAUACAGAGAAGACUGACACUGCCCCUGAGCAAGGAUGACGUGCAAAUUCAUGAAGCAUUCCAUAUUUUU
ensembl:snRNA U6 U6 spliceosomal RNA